CGUGGUGCCGGCAGGAUGGGCAAGUGUCGUGGGCUCUGAACUGCUAGGAAGCUCCAUAGUCACAGACGAGACCAGAAGUGGCAUGAUAAACAGUACAAGAAGGCCCAUCUGGGCACAGCCCUGAAGGCCAACCCUUUUGGAGGUGCUUCCCAUGCAAAGGGGAUUGUCUUGGAAAAAGUAGGAGUUGAAGCCAAACAGCCAAAUUCUGCCAUCAGGAAGUGUGUCAGGGUCCAGUUGACCAAGAAUGGCAAGAAAAUCACGGUGUUUGUACCCAACGAUGGUUGCUUGAACUUUAUUGAGGAAAACGAUGAAGUUUUGGUUGCUGGAUUUGGUCGAAAAGGUCAUGCUGUUGGUGAUAUUCCUGGAGUCCGCUUUAAGGUUGUCAAAGUAGCUAAUGUCUCUCUUUUGGCCCUUUACAAAGGCAAGAAAGAACGACCAAGAUCAUAAAUUUUGAUGAAAACACAGUUAAUAAAUUUUCAUAUGCCAAAAAAAAAAAAAAA